AAUAUUGGACAGUGGGGGCAACCCUGAUCCAGCCAUGCCGCGUGUGUGAAGAAGGUCUNAGGAUUNUNACGCACUUUAAGUUGGGNGGAAGAGUUGUAGGCUAAUACCUUGCAAUUUUGACGUUACAAACAGAAUAAGCACCGGCUAACUUCGUGCCAGCAGCCGCGGUAAUACGUAGGGGGCAAGCGUUGUCCGGAAUUAUUGGGCGUAAAGGGUGCGUAGGCGGCCUUUUAAGUCAGAUGUGAAAGCCCACGGCUUAACCGUGGGACUGCAUUUGAAACUGGAGGGCUUGAGUAUCGGAGAGGGUAGUGGAAUUCCCAGUGUAGCGGUGGAAUGCGUAGAUAUUGGGAGGAACACCAGUGGCGAAGGCGACUACCUGGACGAAAACUGACGCUGAGGCACGAAAGCUAGGGGAGCAAACA
rnacentral:rRNA from 1 species